rnacentral:rRNA from 1 species
GGCCCGCACAAGCAGCGGAGCAUGUGGUUUAAUUCGAAGCAACGCGAAGAGCCUUACCUAGACUUGACAUCUCCUGAAUUACCCGUAACUGGGGAAGUCGCUUCGGCGACAGGAAGACAGGUGGUGCAUGGUUGUCGUCAGCUCGUGUCGUGAGAUGUUGGGUUAAGUCCCGCAACGAGCGCAACCCCUAUUGUUAGUUGCUACCAUUAAGUUGAGCACUCUAGCGAGACUGCCCGGGUUAACCGGGAGGAAGGUGGGGAUGACGUCAAAUCAUCAUGCCCCUUAUGUCUAGGGCUACACACGUGCUACAAUGGCAAGUACAAAGAGAAGCAAGACCGCGAGGUGGAGCAAAACUCAAAAACUUGUCUCAGUUCGGAUUGUAGGCUGAAACUCGCCUACAUGAAGCUGGAGUUGCUAGUAAUCGCGAAUCAGCAUGUCGCGGUGAAUACGUUCCCGGGC